rnacentral:rRNA from 1 species
UACGUAGGGGGCUAGCGUUGUCCGGAUUUAUUGGGCGUAAAGAGCGUUGUAGGCGGCCAGGUAGGUCUGCUGUGAAAACUCGAGGCUCAACCAUCGAGACCGGUCGGCCGGCAAACCAUCUGGCUAGAGUCCGGAAGAGGAGAGGUGGAAUUCCUGGUGUAGCGGUGAAAUGCGCAGAUAUCAGGAAGAACACCCGUGGCGAAGGCGGCUCUCUGGGGCACGGUACUGACGCUGAGACGCGAAAGCGUGGGGAGCGAACAGG